rfam:Chelonia mydas contig219333, whole genome shotgun sequence.
CUCCUCCCCGUGCUUACCGCAGACAGCGCAACUCCCAGCCCUGGCUGCACAGAAAGGGGAGGAAGAGCAUCUGCCCGCGUACACCCCAGCCAGGGACCUGUGACCUGGGCUGUCUUGUUAGCAGGGAGACACGU